rnacentral:rRNA from 1 species
GACGAACGCUGGCGGCGUGCUUAACACAUGCAAGUCGAACGGUGAUGCUCCAGCUUGCUGGAGUGGAUCAGUGGCGAACGGGUGAGUAACACGUGAGCAACCUGCCCCAGACUCUGGAAUAAGCGCUGGAAACGGCGUCUAAUACUGGAUACGAAACUGGCCCGCAUGGGCAUGGUUUGGAAAGUUUUUCGGUUUGGGAUGGGCUUGCGGCCUAUCAGCUUGUUGGUGAGGUAAUGGCUCACCAAGGCGACGACGGGUAGCCGGCCUGAGAGGGCGACCGGCCACACUGGGACUGAGACACGGCCCAGACUCCUACGGGAGGCAGCAGUGGGGAAUAUUGCACAAUGGGCGAAAGCCUGAUGCAGCGACGCCGCGUGAGGGAUGACGGCCUUCGGGUUGUAAACCUCUUUCAGCAGGGAAGAAGCGAAAGUGACGGUACCUGCAGAAGAAGCACCGGCUAACUACGUG